CAGAAUACAAAACCUACCUGGUUGCUGGGGCGGAGUGGGAGGGCUCAGGAUAAGGUGUGUCAGACGGCGGCUGUGAGAGCAAAGUUCUGUAAUGUUCGUGAAGGUGCUCGCUGUCAGACUCCAGGAAAACGUAGGAGGCUGUGAACAAUGCUUCAGCUUCCUCUUAGAUGAGCAAUAGACGGAGCUCAUUUUAGAGUCAUGGCUAUGGAGUCAUUGUGGUUUAGAGCAUUUCAGAGCUGGGGGUCAGCUGGUUGUCCUGUACACCACACUCCCUAACUAAUGGAGGGAAGAAAUCCACAGAGAAGUGCAGGUGGUUUGUUCCCAGUGUGACAGUUGCUGGAGGAGGCUGCCUGGGCAGAGCAUCAGCACUGUUGGUCCUCCGGGCAGCUGACCUGCUGUUGUCAGCAGGAGUGACUCUGUAGCCAGGCCUUCUGUGCUCGAUCUGAUGGAGAAAACCAAACAGCCUCCUUUACAAACUGAACGUGUUACUUGAGGUGACUGUGUGACAAUCUUUGCGACACACUUCUCAGUUCUAUAAUGUCCCGCAGAUCCCUUUGCAUCUUCUUCACUGGACAGAGCCACUUUCAAUUUCUGACAACACGCCACUAGAGGGAGCCAACAUCACCCAGUUUCCCCAAAGCCCCUCAGAGCCUGCCUACCCUGGGGUUUGUCAUGGCACCUCUGGGUUGGAAGGACCAACCAAAGGUGCUGUGGAAAUCUGUUCUGGGCUGACAGUCUGUACUGCCCUUCCUCUAGGCCUAUUGGUUGCUCUCCCUGGCAGAGAGGAGCAGCCAGCCAUGCUGUUGUGGAUGUCUAGAGAUAACGUGGACAAUGAGCUGCCCCUAGAAAUGUUAUUCCUGUGCA
rnacentral:lncRNA from 1 species